GUGGUAACUGUGAAAAUUGACAUGUGUUACCAGCUGUCUGGGAUAUUUAGCCUCAAAUUCACAACUUCUCCACCAACACCGGUACUGCUCUAAACACAAAAAAGAAGUAAGAUCUUACAGAACGCUGCAUGAAAUCUGCAACUGUGUGCCACAAUGGUGAGAAUGCCAAGAGUACUUACAUUUGUAGUAACUUCACUAUCUAGAAAGCCAAAGCAAUCAUUACCAAGAGUGCAAUUCCACAGUCAUUUUAGCCUGACAUUAGUACGGGCUCCCACUGAAAAGGGCUGAUUCUAUCCACCACAUACAUCCACCAGCUCUGGAACUGGCGCAGCCAACCACUAAACUCAUGAGAAAAUGGAUCCAACUGAAAGCCAGUUCUUUUGGGGGAAUGACAGAGAGAUAACUAAAUCAGUUUUCUGCUCAACUGAAUGCCUGUUUGUAUCGGAAUAAAGCAAUAUAAGCCAAGGAGA